GACGAACGCUGGCGGCGUGCUUAACACAUGCAAGUCGAACGGAAAGGCCCUGCUUUUGUGGGGUGCUCGAGUGGCGAACGGGUGAGUAACACGUGAGUAACCUGCCCUUGACUUUGGGAUAACUUCAGGAAACUGGGGCUAAUACCGGAUAGGAUCUCCUGCUGCAUGGUGGGGGUUGGAAAGUUUCGGCGGUUGGGGAUGGACUCGCGGCUUAUCAGCUUGUUGGUGGGGUAGUGGCUUACCAAGGCUUUGACGGGUAGCCGGCCUGAGAGGGUGACCGGCCACAUUGGGACUGCGAUACGGACCAGACUCCUACGGGAGGCAGCAGGGGGGAAUAUUGCACAAUGGGCGGAAGCCUGAUGCAGCAACGCCGCGUGCGGGAUGCCGGCCUUCGGGUUGUAAACCGCUUUCGCCUGUGACGAAGCGUGAGUGACGGUAAUGGGUAAAGAAGCACCGGCUAACUACGUG
rnacentral:rRNA from 1 species